CGCUGAGGGGCGGAGCCGUUAACGGUCGCCCGGCGCCGGGGAAGCGGCCGGCCCCUGCCCGCUGCUGCCCGGCGAGCGCCCGCCCUGUGCCCCCCAGGUGCCCCGGGAAGCCGUCCCGCAGCCGCAGUGUGAAUGCUGACUGUCAGUGCUGGAACAGAGCAGAAUGCCUCCGUGCCACCACCUGCACACCCUGAGCUGCACGUGUGUUCCUUUGGCAGAGAUUGGCAAUGGCAAGUCUCAGCCAUCAGUACCGUGUGCUGGAAAGGCUUUCUGCAAAAGCCCUGUGGGCUGAGGCAGCUGACCAGGGCAUCAGCAGCACAGCUGGAUGACAGCCAUUACCCAGGGCAGGAGCACAUGGGAAGGCCGGGAUGGCUCUGACCACGACUGGGCAUCCGACCUCAAGGUCUGUCACUUAGCAGCUGCAGGCAAGAUUGGCACUUGCUGGCUGGUGCUGCAUGUUUAAUCAGCUGAGGUUCACCAGUAAGAGUAUCAGACAUCAGUAGCUUGGAAGAUUUCCUUUCAUCAUUCAGUGCUCUGAUCACAAAUGCUGGCAGCCCUGCGAACUUUGACUGACAGAUUUUGUUCUACCUCUGGUUCCUGAUAUCUGAUUUCUGCUAUGUUCAAGCUGUCUGGAAACAUCUUGUCCCAUUACAGUCUUAUCUCAAUAGUUUCUUUUCCUCAUCUCUGCUUGGCUGCUGCAUCACGAGGUGGGUGACAGCAGUUGUUCAAUGCCUUUUGAAGGGGUGUGUAACAUAGCCUGCAGCUCCUGCCCUGGCAUUUAAAGUGAGUUUGUGGUCACACAUUCUGGACUGGGGAAAAAAGUCUGACUCUUCACCUGGUUUUCAGGUGAAGUUUGAGGACGUUCUAUGCUCUUUCAUACAAGGUUCACUGAAACAAGUGUCAUCCAUCUGAAUUAGAGAGCCAGAGUCCACCUGUACCUGGUAGAUUGGUUAAAAUGCUUGUGUGAUUUAUUACAAGUCAAUGCCACAGAAGCCAAACAUUUCAGGAAAGUCUUCAGAAUCAAAUCUCAGCUGGCAGCUGUUUGCCUCACCUCUUACUUUUUCACAUCUCCUGCAGAAAGCAAAUAGCUUUCACUUAUGGAAGAAACCUGAUUAUUCCCCGAAAUACGACUCAGAAUUGCUCCUUUUAAGGGUAAUUUCUGGGGCAUGCAGAGUGCCUUUCAGAAGAAUUGAGGAACACCAGCUGCAGAUCUAAAGACUGUUCAUGUCCGCUGUCCCUGCGGUGUGCAGUGUUUCACCAGUGCAGCCUUUUCUGUUCCAAUCCUUCAGUUACUUUUGUGUUCCUAAUUAUAUAUAUGUAUAAUUGACUUGCAAGACAUUCCUAGCUUUCAGUGCGCGCUGAGUGAAUUAUUGACCCAUCACAUGGGUCACUGAUGUGAAGAGACAUAUGAACAAACUUGGUACAAAAUAGCUGCUUUGCAUUCUUAAUAGCAAAUGUAAGCCAUUAAUAACUUCGCCUGAUGCACUCAGAGCCUGCACAAUUUUAGUUUAACAUGCAUAUGGCUGAGUUCAUCCUCUGUGUAAUUUGAAAUUCAUUGGGCAUGGACUUCAUCUCCUUAUGCUGCUUUAAAAUCUCUCCUGUGUUGAGAUGUGAUAUGCUAAUUCCGGAGUUUAUGGCUGACUUGAGAUGCUACAUUUGAAAAAUCAAAUCCAAUUAAAUCAACUUAUUACCAAGGCCAGAGAGUGGUAUUCAGUGCAUUUUAUUCUUCCUUAUUUCACAACAAGGAGUGAACUUCAGGAGAAUAUUGUGUCUUAACAUAUAAACAAAGCUAAUCUGUCCUAAUAAGAAGGUUUCUGUCUGCAGCGCCUAGGAAGCAAGUGGUAAAACAUUUUCUGGAGAGUCCAAUUACCUGAGCUUGGUUCUAGCUUUUCACUUCUUUUUGUCUGCUAUGGGGCAGUUGCUCUCCCCUUUGUGCCUGUUUCCCCAUCUACUCAUAACAUGGAAGCAAACUGAGGAUGUUAUGUGGAUGAAUUCAAAGACUGCAAGGUGCUUUGGGAAAUCCUGAGUGUGCUGCUGUGGACUGGCAGCAUGGCAUCAGCUCAUUGUAGUCAGAACUUUAACGGAGCUCAGACUUCAGGAGGAUACAAAGGUAUGAGGCACCCACUUGCUGUCUUGGUAGGAACUUAUUUAUCAUCACCUGAGAAGAAGAAAAGCAUCUGUGUGCCUAAUACCUUAAUAUUCUCAGCAAAGAGUGAAAAGAGGGGAAUAAACAACAGUUUUUUGAGAUGGAAAAAAUAUUAUGCUGAUUUGCAGAUGCUAAGCAAAUGAGAAUCUUUAGGUUUAUUAUGUGUGAACGCUGUGCCAUUCUUUGUAUUUCAAGCAUAUUAUCACCAAACUGUCAGUGGUUCUUUCUGCUGUAGGUACCAGUGCUCCUAUUUUGAGCAUUUCUGAGAAGUGCUUACUUUGAACCUGGGGCUGCUACUUCCAAAAACAAGCUCUUAUUUCAGUUACCAACGAGCACUCAGAAAUCUUGACUCGGUUGUUACAGUUCGUGCAGAAUUCAGAGCAGAUCUUGGUUGCGAUUUGAGAUUUCCAUAGUGCCAGUGAAGUGAUGGAAACCUAACAAAGGAUUCAUGUCACCUCAGUGUACCUCAUCUGAGAUACAAGAGCUAGUGUGCAAUGAGGACUGGUGAGCUGCUGCUCACAGCAUCUCACCUGCCCACCUCCAGGUUACAUGGGCAGCCUGGCUGGCAGGGU